GACGAACGCUGGCGGCGUACUUAACACAUGCAAGUCGAACGGGGAUCGACACGUGAGCAAUCACGUGGCGGUCUUAGUGGCGUACGGGUGAGUAACACGUGGGCAACCUGCCCUUGAGUCUGGGAUAACCUCCCGAAAGGGAGGCUAAUACCGGAUACGGUCCUCGGGUCGCGAGAUCUGAGGAAGAAAGGUGGCGCAAGCUACCGCUCUUGGAGGGACUCGCGGCCUAUCAGCUAGUGGUGAGGUAACGGCUCACCAAGGCUAUGACGGGUAGCUGGUCUGAGAGGACGACCAGCCACACGGGGGACUGAGACAC
rnacentral:rRNA from 1 species